UUUUUUUAUUGUUAUAAGAUGUCUUUUCGAUCGCUUUCGGGGGAAAAAAUAUAUGGAAUGAGGCUCUUUUCUGAUCUUGUUUGUAUUCAAAUUUGGGGACGAAUCGAGACUGAAGAAUCGAAGAUAUACAGGAAAUAAAACUGCAACGGAUAAAUCAUUGGGAAAAAGGGAACAGAACACGAAAAAAAGACAGUGAUAACCGAUAUAAAAGUAUGAAUGAAAGAGAGUGAGAGUUUUAUAUAUAUAUAAAAGGAAAUGAUUGAUUAUAUAGUGCAUUAACACCCGCUGUGUAUUAGCACGAGAACAAUCCCACACCUAACUAAGGCUCGGAAUAAAAUGAAAUAAAAAUCCACACCUUCGUAAAACACCCCACAUUAAAACCCAAAAUCCACACCCAAUGGAGAAGGAAUUAAUAGUUUUAAACAGACGACCUUCACAGACCCGCAGUUAACCGCAACAGGUGCCACUGCCUCCUCAAAAACAACCUGUUUCACACUGCUCUCUCGCGUGUGAUGCGUCUGCUUGAGAGGCAGGCAUUUCUACCACCCUUAUGCCAUGGUCACCAAGCUGCAUUUUGCCAUUAUGGUUUCUUGAAGGUCAUGCAAUAGAACACUUACAAAAAUGGGAUGGUAGAGACGGUCAACUUGCAAGCUGUUGAUUGUAAUGCUUUUGGCAAGGACAAGUGAAUAUUUUUGGCCUUGUGAUUACCUGAGGAAAAGAGAGGAGUUUAGUUUUUGUUGUUUUUUAUUUUAGUACGUCCUGUUUUUUUGAGAAAGUUGAACCUUGAACAAAUUUUAUGGAAAUUAGUAAAGUGGCCUGUGCUUCAAUAAACUCAGUUGUUCAAAGAAUCGACUAUGUUAUUGUUGUUAAGUGGAAACUGUUACGUCGUACUAUUGUGAGAAAAAGGAAGAAAAGAAACGGCACCUGCCAAAGUCAACAAUUGCCUUUAUGUAAAUUCUUUUCCCUGUUGGAACAAGUACAAGAUAUAUAAAUGUAAGCAACAGAGUAUACAUAUUGCGUGUGGGAGUGCUUCCAAUUCUUUCUCGAGUGCCUUACUGAAAAGUGUUAUCAAAUGCAUGUAUAGUGUUGAAAACUAGUAAAAGUUUUUUGCUGUUAGAAGAGUGUUACAAAAUUAUUACAAAUUAGAAGUAGAGGACAUUUCCCCCCCUCAAGAGAAUAGUUUAUAUUUUGUGACCAGACAGAUAAUUUAGAUAUUUUUGUAGUAGCCUAGUGAAAGUAUAGAGAAAUUAACUUUCCUGAUAUGACGAGUGGAUUGUGAUAAAGAAAAGAGUAUAUAUAAGUAUAUAUAUUAAACCUUUUUUACCCGGAAGAAUAUAGGGAUUGAAAACUGACCAAGUUCUAGACAACUGUGAAGUGUUUCAGUCUUUGACAAAGUUCAACAUCUGGAAGUUUUUUUAGAAAAUAAAUCUAGGGGAGUACCUUAUUGAAAAGAAAAUAGAAAAGCUAGCUAGAGAGGGGAAGAA